ensembl:lncRNA
AGCAAAGGUCUCACCAGCAUCAGCAUGGCUGUCUGGGGCUGCAGCUGCCCUCCCAGUUUGCCAGGCUGCUGAUAUCCAUGAUCACACACUGCUGGGUCCUGCUGGGGACAAUCAGAUUUCAGUGGGUGCUGCUGGACUUACGUGCCCAGCACAUAAGGUGUCAGAAUUCACCACUAGCUGCAAAGAGGGAUGAACCAGAGCUCCAGCAAGCAAAACCCAUCUUCACACAACACAGGCCUCAGCGUCUUGCAGGUCCUGUGGGCCCCACAGCAGAGCAGAUGGGUCCCAGCAGGGCAUCCGUGAAACAUAGGUGCUCAUCCUGCACGAUCUGAGCCACAGCUGUGUCCUGCAUGCUUGGCCUUUCCCUGCCCAACCAAAGUUAGUGGAAUGCCUGUGACUCUGCAUGCCGAAAUCUGCGCCCUCUGGCCGGUGUCCCUUGCCACUGUCCUCAAGGGUGGCAGGGUGGACGUGGAGGGGAAAGAAGAGCAUUUUUACAGGGAGUGUGAAUGCCACAGAUCUAAGCCACUGUGAGAGGGCAUUACACCUCCCCAAACUGCUGAAUGACUGCUGAAACGGGGCAUUUGGUAGACAAAACAGGGGAACUUAUUUCCAUGCCAGCAGCCCAAUGGCUAUUCAAAGAUACCAUCUGGAAGAUUUUCAUGAGCUGCUGAAAUGCAGAGGCUUUAGAAGAGCAAGAGCCAUGCAAACCUCACAGCACCUGCAAAAAAAGCACAGCAAGUGGUUUUCUUCCUACAGUAGCGAGCCUGACUCUACUUUGCAUGUUCUCAGGAAAAGUCAGCUCCUCCUCUUACAGAAUCUGGCAGAUCUGCUCAGCUCCCAGUGAUUUCUUGGAGGUACAGAGGCAAGAACGGGCAGCUCAUUCUCUUGCAAACCGGCUCUAAAUAUUGCUUCAGCUGGAAGACAACAUUUGGGAAAACACAACUGAUGAUAAGCAGCCAGGCUACUGAUGCAGCAUGAAACCUGGCUCCCACUGGAGUGGGCAUGUAAACAUCUCCUGAUGCAAAUACGCAGAGAUCACUUCCCAUUCACUGCUGCUUUCCAGCCUCUCUCCUGCCGCAUGGCCACAACCUGUGUGGCAGCUGUACAUCAGUUCUCAUUGGAGAUUUCCCUUUGGUCCCCGAACCAAGCCCCCAGUACGCAGUAUUUCCACAUAUCCAUGCAGCCACCACUGUGCUCUCAUCCUCCACUGACUCCAGUCAGAUGCAUGAUGUCUUCAGCUCAGUGAUUCUGGGCUAUUCUUUGUGGACACAUGCUCUGGAAGUGAACGGUGUGCUCAUCACCUCUCUCGGUCCAACAGACUCAGCCUGGUGAUCCCCUCCUGGAUAUUCACCACAGGCUGCAGGUAGGGGUCCUUUAUCACAGAGUGCCAUCACGUGCCUGGCUUUGGUGCUCCCAUGCCUCCAGCAGAGGAGUCCUCGUGCCAAACAGAACCAACAGAGAACCAAAGCUGCCAUCCCAUCAGAGAGGCAGCUGUGCUUCGUGCACAGGCUGUGCUGCAGCAUAUUGCUCUUGUUCCACUUGUGUUCAGCUGAUCCAAUCUGGGAACUUGGCUCCAAUGAAGACAUGACUUGCAGCAUGUUAAAUACAGCUCUGUGUUCCUGGGACCGGGAGGCAGAACGAAACCUUUCUGCCUUCUGAGAUGAGAGGCAUUCUGAUGCUGGAACCAAAGCUAUGAGUGUGCAGCACCUGAAAGGGCUGUCCACGUGCUUUGUGCCCGCUUCCCUCUGGUUUGGUGGUGGAGAAGCCCUCCAGGGCAUGGGGCUCAUGGGGAGCAGGGCUUCCCAGAUUACUCCUGAGGUAUUGCAGGGGUGUGGUUUGCAGCACGGGCAUCAGGAAUGAAGGACGCCUGGAGGACUGGAUUUUUUCCAUGGUUGGAAAUUGCCUUUGGAGAUCCAAGCAGAUGGGAUUUUGGCUGGGAUAAUUCUCUGGCACCUACUGCUACUAACAAACUCCAGCACUGAGAGUCCGUGGCACAAUGCUCUUGUGCAGGGCAUAUCCGGCAGUGCCUGGUCUCAAAACCAGUGAGCGCCUGCUGCAUUUGCAAUGCAGCAGUUGCAAUUUGCAGUAGGAUCUGACCUGGGGAAUUCAGACAGAAACCCACUGACAGUGCUGGUGCUGCCCAAAACUUUGUCCCUGGGAUCAAGAGAAAGGACAGACCGCAGUUUUCGUAUGGGUAACACUCCUGUAGCUAUCACACAUUUUCCUUUGCAUGAUGAAUGUUUAGCCAAUGUAUAAGAUUUUCUGUUAUUUGGUAAACCAGCCGUGGGGAAAAGACUAUACAGAAACAUUUGAUUCUUUCAUUAUAAAAACCUUUGUCCUUCCUCUAGCAAAGCUAAAUCAAAAGAGAAGGAAAGUGCUCAUGAACAGGAAGUGCACCAAGCCUCCCACUCCAGCAAGGGACAGGACUUUGAUUUAUAGGAGAUGGAGAGCAGCAGCCUGAGAUGCAGCUGGGUGAAUCCCACAGUCUCACUUCCCAUCAGAAGUGGAAAUCAAAAGAGGUACCAGAUGUACUCCUGCCCCCAGACUGGAGAGCUGGAAGUGCUUUUAAGUGGGCAGAUGACAAUGUCAGAUUGAGGAUAACCACCAGGACACCGCAUUACAUGAAUGCCACUCCACUCACAGAAGUUGGCUUUGCAGCUUGCCACGUAUGAUGAGGGAAAGAGAAGGAACAGGAGCCAGUACAUGCUAUUUUGGUAUCCAGUUCAUUUUUCUUACAGGCUGGGAUCUACCAGGGAAAGAGCUUUAUUUGGAAAACCAUUUCCAUCACCAGCAGGGAGGGCAGAAGCAGUUCCAGCAUGCCAUCCCGCCCCGCGCACACCUUUCCUUCCCUAUCAUCUACCAGUGCAGAGUGAAGCAUGAUCUGACUUUGCCCUCUGGAGGCACGGAAUUGGCAUGACGCAGAAAGGCACAGCCCCAGAGGGACUGAACCACUGAACCACUGUGCUGACUUUUAGACAAUCGGAUCAGAGAAUUCCUGCCCUGCUUCAGACCUCUGUGAGCCGGAGGGCACUGCAGGAGAGGCAGCUCCACUGCUUUCAUGCAGGAGGGAUGUGCUUCUGGCUUUCUCCAGGGCAGCACUACCCCAGG